rnacentral:rRNA from 1 species
ACGGAAGGCAGCAGUGGGGAAUAUUAGGCAAUGGGGGCAACCCUGACCUAGCAACGCCGCGUGAGGGAAGAAGGCCUUCGGGUUGUAAACUUCUUUUAUGAGGGACGAAGGAAGUGACGGUACCUCAUGAAUAAGCCACGGCUAACUUCGUACCAGCCGCCGCGGUAAUACGUAGGUGGCCAGCGUUGUCCGGAUUUACUGGGUGUAAAGGGCGCGUAGGCGGGAUGGCAAGUCAGAUGUGAAAGCCAUGGGCUCAACCCAUGAACUGCAUUUGAAACUGUUAUUCUUGAGUGUCGGAGAGGCAAGCGGAAUUCUUAGUGUAGCGGUGAAAUGCGUAGAUAUUAGGAGGAACACCAGUGGCGAAGGCGGCUUGCUGGACGAUAACUGACGCUGAGGCGCGAAAGCGUGGGGAGCAAACAGGAUUAGAUACCCUGGUA